UACGUAGGGUGCAAGCGUUUAAUCGGAAUUACUGGGCGUAAAGCGUGCGCAGGCGGUGAUGUAAGACGGUUGUGAAAUCCCCGGGCUCAACCUGGGAACUGCAUCUGUGACUGCAUUGCUGGAGUGCGGCAGAGGGGGAUGGAAUUCCGCGUGUAGCAGUGAAAUGCGUAGAUAUGCGGAGGAACACCGAUGGCGAAGGCAAUCCCCUGGGCCUGCACUGACGCUCAUGCACGAAAGCGUGGGGAGCAAACAGG
rnacentral:rRNA from 1 species